UACAGAGGGUGCAAGCGUUGUUCGGAAUUAUUGGGCGUAAAGCGCGUGUAGGCGGCUUUGCAAGUCGGGUGUGAAAGCCCUCAGCUCAACUGAGGAAGUGCGCCCGAAACUGCAGAGCUUGAGUGCCGGAGAGGGUGGCGGAAUUCCCCCAAGUAGAGGUGAAAUUCGUAGAUAUGGGGGAGGAACACCGGUGGCGAAGGCGGCCA
rnacentral:rRNA from 1 species